rnacentral:rRNA from 1 species
CACCUGUUUAUCAAAAACAUGUCUUUUUGAAUUUUUUUUAAAGUCUGACCUGCCCACUGAAUUUUUUUUUAAAUGGCCGCAGUAUACUAACUGUGCAAAGGUAGCAUAAUCAUUAGUCUUUUAAUUGAAGGCUGGUAUGAAUGGUUGGACGAGAUAUUAACUGUUUCAUAAAAAUUUAUAAUAGAAUUUUAUUUUUUAGUCAAAAAGCUAAAAUUUAUUUAAAAGACGAGAAGACCCUAUAAAUCUUUAUAUUUAUAUUAUUAUAAUUUUGUAGAUUUUUUUUGUUAUGAUAAUAGAUUAUAUUUUAUUGGGGUGAUAUUAAAAUUUAAUAAACUUUUAAUUGUUUAAAUCAUUAAUUUAUGAAUAAUUGAUCCGUUAUUAGCGAUUAAAAAAACAAGUUACUUUAGGGAUAACAGCGUAAUUUUUUUGGAGAGUUCAUAUCGAUAAAAAAGAUUGCGACCUCGAUGUUGGAUUAAGAUAUAAUUUUAGGUGUAGCCGCUUAAAUUUUAAGUCUGUUCGACUUUUAAAUUCUUACGUGAUCUGAGUUCAGACCGG